rnacentral:rRNA from 1 species
UACGAAGGGGGCUAGCGUUGCUCGGAAUCACUGGGCGUAAAGGGUGCGUAGGCGGGUCUUUAAGUCAGGGGUGAAAUCCUGGAGCUCAACUCCAGAACUGCCUUUGAUACUGAAGAUCUUGAGUUCGGGAGAGGUGAGUGGAACUGCGAGUGUAGAGGUGAAAUUCGUAGAUAUUCGCAAGAACACCAGUGGCGAAGGCGGCUCACUGGCCCGAUACUGACGCUGAGGCACGAAAGCGUGGGAGC